ACCAGGGUCUGAGUGAGUGAGUGAGUGAGCGAGUGAGUGAGUGGGUGCUGCUACGAGUCCGAAGCUCCCAAGCUCCCCAGCUCCAUCCAUCCAUCCAUCCAUCGAACGAUCCACGCCGCUGCCGUCAUCGACCGUGCCCACGACGAUCUGGUCGAUGUGUGUGUCUCUAGCGAGGUCUCGGAUCCCCGUCCAUCUGCCCGUGAGUCUGCCCGUGUAUCGAUUCGUGUGUGGCUGUGACGGGUGUGUGAGUGACCGCUCCAUCCAGGCGUGCGGCGGGGCCGUUCCUCUAGCGUUCGUUUGGUUUGGUGAACCCCUCUCUCCGUGAUUCCGUGAUUCCGUGAUCGGUUUAUCCAUCGGCGUGAUAAGCUCGUGAUGCGCCCGCCUUGGCUGCCCGUGGCACCGUCAUGUCCCCGCCCGUGAGUGAAUCGCCCAUUCUGGCCGCUGAGGUCAGUGGGCCUUUGGCGCCCACCCCUAUGGGCUCGCCCGCCCCCGUGCUCACCACUUUAGCUUACCGCAAGAACCAGACCAUUUCCACCCCGUCGCACACCGAGGCCAUGCUCGAGCCGCCCGCCCCUCACAAAGGGUUGGUCCUCCACAGCCCUAUCGUGGGCGUGGCCGCGGCUGUCUACCCCUGGCCUCUCAAGAAAGGCAAAGGCUCGAUGCGGCGCUCCGAGGACAAACAAGAUGAGGGCGCCGAAAUCGUCGACACGAUACGGUGGGUCUGUGUGGACCAUCCUUGCAUUGAAGAUGCCAUGCAAGAUUCGGACUACUACACCAAAUACGAUAGCAAAUCUUUUGAAAACAUGACUGCCAUAUGUAACAGAUACAACAAGGCUGUGGACCAAUAUCACAGAAAACUGACUGAAUCCCAAGGCACUGCCAAAGUCAACAAUCACUUCAGUUCCUCGUCGUCUAACAAUGCCUCUUCCAAGAUCUCGAACCCCUCCUCCAACCAUUUGUCUCGACGAGGCUCGAACUCCUCGAGUGGAUCCUCGUCCUCGUCCUCGAGUUCGUCAUCGUCGGAAAAUAGUCUGCUUUUGUCCUCUAAGCGAAAUGGAGAUCUCGUGUAUCCCGAGGAUCAGCUCACCAACGGUCAGGAGCUGACUCGGGUCAGUCGGCCCCUCCUCAAACACAUCCUGACCAAGUGCUACAACAAAUCCGUUACGGAUCCCAACGAACUCAACCACUAUGAGGCGUUCACGCCAGAGGUCUAUGGAGAGACGAGCUUCGAACUGAUUUGUCAGAUCCUGGACAAACUCACCCCGAUCUCAAGCGACAACAAGUUUGUGGACUUGGGCUCGGGUGUUGGACAAGUGGUACUGCAAGUGGCCGCACUGACGACCUGCUCAUUUAGUUUAGGAAUUGAAAAGGCCAACACUCCGGCCAGAUAUGCCAAGGAAAUGGAGACCAACUUCAGGUAUUGGAUGUCCUUCUACGGCAAGAUCUACUCCCCAUUCAAGUUAGUGCAUGGGGACUUUUUGGAUGCCGUCCAUCGGCCCGGCAUUCUUGCCUCUACCAUUGUGUUCGUUAAUAACUUCGCCUUCGGUCCCGAGGUGGACCAACAUCUCAAAGAUAUCUUUGCCGAUCUCAACGAUGGCGCCAGAAUCUUCUCCAGUAAAAGCUUCUGCGCCCUCAACUUCAGAAUCACCGAGCGCAACUUGAGUGAUAUCGGAACGAUAAUGCACGUGUCCAAGAUGGAUCCUCUGAAGGGGUCUGUGAGUUGGACGGGCAAGCCCGUGUCUUACUACCUCCAUGUCAUUGAUCGAGCCAAGCUCGAGCGUUACUUCCAAAGGAAUGCGGCCAGCCGGAAAACCGACAAGGAUGAGGAAGGAGGUGGAAGACGGGGCCGCAAACGGCGUGACCGUGGUGAUGGCAUCUUACCCGCUGCCUUGCUCCGCGAAGAGAACGGUAUGGACUCGUCCGACUCGAGGGACGUGUCCAGGGCUUCCUCCGUGGAACGAGAUGAGAACUCCAAUCCGUCCGGAUUGCGUCGAGCCAUCUCGGACAGCAAUGAUGGGAGCACGCCCAGUCACCGACGCCCCCCCGCCCUCAAGCGCAUGGGAUCGCAUCCCAUGCAGCACCACCGUCGAGGAGGGGGUCUGCCUCCGCUCGAUGAUCUUGACUCCAUGGACUCGUCCUCGUCUAUGUUGCCGCCGGCCCCGGCGGGCACGCCUGCUAGCGGGCUGUCCACGCAGCCGGUGAGUGAAGGCGAGGGCGACGACGCCAUGAUUGGUGGCGGCGGUGGGGUACCGGCGGCGGGCGCGCACCGCCCGUUGCGCUCGACCGUGGCCAAUGCAGCGGCCAUUACGGAAGCCCUGGCCGGGAAAAAGAAGAAAGGCCGCCCACGGAAAGUGCCGUUGGAUUUGGCCGAGUACGCGGAGAAGAACGAUAAGCUGGCCAACAGUAUUAGCGGACUUGACUUGUUGCAUGACACCACCCUUCGGUGCAUCCAAGAGUCCAAUGAGAACGACGAUGCCCCUCUGGGCUGCGUCAAUGAAAGACUGAGCGAGAUCGCCCCACAAGGCGUGAUCGAGCACGAAGAGCUGCCACAAACGCUCCGACUCAUGCCCGAUGGGUCCAAGAUCCCGCACCAGCUUCAGCUGUUCCUCGAGACCAUGAAAACCCAGUACCUGACCUUUAUGCAGACCAUGCAAGAGGAAGCCUUCAAGACGAAAGUCCAGGGCCAAAUCCAAGACGAGCAGAAACGCCAAGGCGAGCUCCACAAACGCGAGAAACAGCUCAAAGCUCAGAUCGACAACUUGAUCUCGGACUCACUCGGCCUGCUCCAAUGCCGCCUCCAAGAGUUGGGCAUCAAAGCCAAGACGCCCCCCGAGUUCAUCGAGAAGGCCAAGGGCAUCGUGUGCUCACACCAUGACCUUCAGAAGAACAAGGCUAGUCUCGAGGCCGAGGUUCGAGCACUCGAAGCCAACCACGAGAAGCUCAUGCUCACCAAAGAGCGCGAGCUCCUCGAGAAACUCGCCCAAGAACGCCCCGAUCUGUCGGCUACCAGUGCCAAAGAGGUGGUCCGGAGAGAACUGGAAGUCCAAUCCCGCCCUCCUCGAGAGACCCGCCACAGCCAUGAGCCGUCACCCACGCCCACGAAAGUGGCUCCUCUGUUGAACAAACUCUCCGAUGUGACCUUUACUAAGUGCGGGGGCGAGCAAGUGUCCGCCCAGAUCCGGAAACGGCCCCAGAAACAGCGGGAUUGGCCGGAAAAACGGAGCAAAUUGUCAGCCGCGGCCUCGCCUCCGCCCUCAUCGCCCACGGCCUGGGUGCCCACCUCGUCAUCCAUCGUGGCCAAGAUUGAGGAGAAGAGUCCUGAAAUGCUGGCCAGGAAGAUCAUUGACGAGGGUCGUACUUUGGAGAAACAGCCAGCCCAUCAACGACCGUCCUCGGCCGCCACGCUGACCAUCUCACCUACAAAGGCCAAUCGGAGCUUCCAUCGGGACACGUUCCCGCCGCAUCAUUCGGUGGGGGCUUCGGGGGCUUCGGGGACCACGGGGGCCCGCUCCCAUCACCCGCCCGGAAUGGUGGAGGUGCGCAAGAUUGAGCCCAUGUCUCCCCCGUCUUAUCCCACCAUGGCUGUGGGGUCAGCCGUGGAUUUGCCCAAGAUUGACUUAGCAGCUUCCAUGGCGGCAUCCUCUGCCUCGCACCACCAUAACCACGCCCAUCAUCCACUUCAUCAUCAGCCCCACGGCCACGCCUCGGUCCAUCCCGAAGGGUUAUUACUUCCACCCCAUCCAGAUUCCCGGUCUCGAUCCCGGUCCUCGGAGCACACUUUGGACGGAGGCGAUGUCUCGUUCGCUAAGAGCAAGAUGAGCACCACGCCCAGGGCCGAGCAAUUUGAAGACCGCCUGAAGACCAUCAUCCAUUCAGUUCUUUCGAGUGAUCAACAAGGAGGAGGGCCACCCCCUGCCAUGACCAUCACUUCCACCGCUCCCUCCUCCUCUUACCCAAGUGGAGGAAGCGCCGCUGGGGGAGCUGUUCCGGGCUCUGGGGUCGUGCCUCGACAGGCACCCAUGUUCAGUCCGGUGAAACGCGAGCUCCCGUCCCACUUACCUCCCCCUCCCAACACGCGACACCCAGCCUCUUCAGCGCAAGUGUCUCACGCCCAGUCGCUGUCCUUGUCUCACGCUCACUCGCACGCGGGCGGUGGUCCGGCCCGAGCGCUCCAGUACCCUUCGUAUCAUCCCAGUGCCCCCCGAGUGAGUGAGAAGCACGGUCAAGGAGGAGGACCUCUGAUGCCGCGGCAUCACCUACCACCCAUGAAACGUCCUCCAUCGCGGGAAUACAACCAUCACGGUGGGCAACAACAACAGCAGCAGCAGCAACAGCAGCAGCCUCCUCCCACCUCGUCUUCGUCCUCGAGUCGCACCAUGAACGACCUGAUCUCAUCCGAGAUUGACCGGAGCCUACUUGCGGGGCCACCACCGCCACCGCCCAGCUCUACGCCCUCCUCGUUACCCAGCAGUCGUCGAGGCAGCUUUGCCAGUCAUACCCCAUCGCCGGGUGCUCCUACCGCCGAGUCGGCGUCCAAUCUCUCACGUACCAUGUCCCAAGUCAUCGAGGACUCGAUUCGCGGCCACCUCUCUGGCAAUCGUCGGGUCGGGGGUGAGUUGGAGGGCCUGGCUUUACCGCGCACCAAAAGUCCCGAGCCUGCUUCGUCAUCGUCGGGCUCAUUGGGCGCUCCACCUCGCGCCCAUUAUCCGACCACAACGGAUCCAUCCUCCUCCGCCCCCUCCGGGUUUGACCAGACGCGCAGUGGUCCGGUCGCCACGUCCUCGUCCGCCCCUUCGUCCGGUUCCUUAAGUGGGACUACGCGCAAUGGUGGCAAUGACUAUCCGGCCAUGGAAGGCUUGGCAGCGCGGUUCGGGACCUAUAUGGCCGCUGAGAACAAGCGGAUGAUGGACCCCCGAGGUCGUUACAUGAGCUCCAUGGAGCACCAACAACAGGGCGGCCAUGAGCGUCCGUCAUCUUCCGGUGGAAGAGGCAUGCUCGUGUCUUCGUCGCCAAUGGCGUCCUCAUCGACGAGUUUGGGUCUUGAUCGGAAGCGGCUGAGUUCGCCACCCGUUCUUCCGCCCAAAAAACAGCAUUUGGACGACAAUCCUGACUAUCGUUUGCCCAAAGAUAACAACCGUAGUGUCCCUGAAAAUCCUCCUCUUCCACCACCUCAACACCAUCAUCACCACCCCCAGCAGCAACAACAUCAAGUCCGUCCCCCUCCUCCACCUCCUUCCUCAAGCCACGCGAAUCACCACCCUCGAUAUCACGUGCCUAAGCAUAUACCUCCUUACCCUGGAGUUCGCCCGCCCCCACUGACCCCGGGAUGGGCCCCACCCUCGGCCUCUGCCUCUCACGGCGGCGCGCCACACCCUCAACCACCGCAUGCUCAUCAUCAGGCCCAUAGAAGCCGCAGCCAUCCGUAUUUACAUGAAGACGCCCACCGGGGCAAACAUCAGCCACCACCGCCACCACCAUCCCAUCAGCAGCAACAACAACAACAGCAACAGCACCAUCACCGUUAUGAGCAGCAACAACAUUACAACCAUCGGAGGAAUUAGUUGUAAAUCACAGACAAAGGGAGUCAGAGUGAGGAACGUGCCACGCCCCUACUCUCACUCUCUCUCUCUCUCCCUCCCCUGAGAAAGUGAAUGAGGAGGUAUGUUUCAGCUCAGUGUAACAGUGAGUGAAAAUGACAAGAUGAAAGAGAGAAGAAAGUGCGUGAUGAUAAACAGAAUCUUUGGCACUGACCCGCCACACCCACACGCAAAUAUCCAAUCUUACUGUCAAUCACUCACGCAAUGAAUUCGUUGUGCACUUCCACAUCCCACCACCGGGUCCCCUUUUAAGAGUCUUCUUUCAUUCAAAAUAAAGGCUGUUGAGACACUAAACGAAAAGAUGGCGGACUCCUUUGUUAUCCCUGUUUUGGAAGGUUUUAGGUGGAAAUUUGUAGCGAUGCUAGUUUGAACCAAGAACUUGAAAAAUCACCCAACUACCAACCGACUCUUCAUCGAACCUCCGCGGGAGUAUUCCGUCCUGAUUCCUGCCUCUCCUUGGUCCCACUCCUAAGCUCCUCCCUGUCAGAUGAAAACAAGCAGCAAUGGCAAGAUGAGAUUUCCACCGGGUUCGACCGUCUCGUAGCUUAUGCCACGGAAGUGGACCGACGCCGGAAAUCCACGGACUCCAACUCGCCUAGUCAUCCAACGGCCUCUUCCUCGUCCUCGCCCAAGUACAACAACAACAAUAACCACCAACACCACCA